GGUCAAGUGAAGAAGGGCGCACGGUGAAUGCCUUGGCACUGGAAGCCGAUGAAGGACGCGACUAACCGCGAAAGUCUUCGGGGAGCCGUAAGUAGGCUUUGAUCCGGAGGUCUCCGAAUGGGGGAACCCAGCAUGUGCAGACAUGCUAUCCUUAAGUGAAUACAUAGCUUAAGGAGGGAACACGCAGCGAACUGAAACAUCUAAGUAGCUGCAGGAAAAGAAAGAAAUAUCGAUUUCCCAAGUAGCGGCGAGCGAACAGGAAAGAGCCCAAACCGGCAGAUUUAUCUGCCGGGGUUGUAGGACUGAGACAUGGCACUUCAGAGGAUAGCAGAAGCGUUUGGGAAAACGCGCCAGAGAGGGUGAUAGCCCCGUAAGCGAAAUCCAAAGAAGGCCUAUCAGUAUCCUGAGUAGGGCGGGACACGUGAAAUCCCGUUUGAAUCCGCGAGGACCAUCUCGCAAGGCUAAAUACUAACCAGUACGAUAGUA
rnacentral:rRNA from 1 species